AUCCAACUGAUGAGUCCCAAAUUGGACGAAACACGCGUCAAACUGGAU
rnacentral:hammerhead_ribozyme from 1 species